rnacentral:tRNA from 1 species
GCCGGGGUGGCGGAAUUGGUAGACGCACAGGACUUAAAAUCCUGAGCUCCGCAAGGAGCGUGCCGGUUCAAGUCCGGCCCUCGGUA